rnacentral:misc_RNA from 1 species
GUCUUUGUAAUGACAUAUUUCUCUAGUGCUACUUGUCCAUUCCUCAUAUCCUCCUGAAUCUUCAUAAGAGAGUUAUGUAUUGAUUCAACUACAUCUUCACAUGACCCCCCAGACAAGAUUUGCGAGGCAGAAAUCUCCCAGUUCCUUUGAUAGCAAGCUCCAGUCACGACGAACCAUGUCAAGACCUUUACGUUCAAUAACCUCGUACUGUGUCCCAUCCUUGAACUGC